UAGGGAAUCUUCCACAAUGGACGAAAGUCUGAUGGAGCAAUGCCGCGUGAGUGAAGAAGGUUUUCGGAUCGUAAAACUCUGUUGUGAGGGAAGAACAAGUACGAGAGUAACUGCUCGUACCUUGACGGUACCUCAUUAGAAAGCCACGGCUAACUACGUGCCAGCAGCCGCGGUAAUACGUAGGUGGCAAGCGUUGUCCGGAAUUAUUGGGCGUAAAGCGCGCGCAGGCGGUCCUUUAAGUCUGAUGUGAAAUCCCACGGCUCAACCGUGGAAGGUCAUUGGAAACUGGGGGACUUGAGUACAGAAGAGGAAAGCGGAAUUCCAAGUGUAGCGGUGAAAUGCGUAGAGAUUUGGAGGAACACCAGUGGCGAAGGCGGCUUUCUGGUCUGUAACUGACGCUGAGGCGCGAAAGCGUGGGGAGCAAACAG
rnacentral:rRNA from 1 species